rnacentral:rRNA from 1 species
AGAGUUGAUCCUGGCGUCAGGAUGAACGCUAGCGACAGGCCUAACACAUGCAAGUCGAGGGGCAGCACAAGGAGUAAUCUGAGGUGGCGACCGGCGCACGGGUGAGUAACACGUAUGCAACCUGGCUGUAAGAGGGGGAUAACCCGGAGAAAUCCGGACUAAUACCGCAUAAUACUUAGAAUCCGCAUGGAUUUUAAGUUAAACAUUUAUGGCUUACAGAUGGGCAUGCGUAUGAUUAGCUGGUUGGAGAGGUAACGGCUCCCCAAGGCAACGAUCAUUAGGGGUUCUGAGAGGAAGGUCCCCCACACUGGUACUGAGACACGGACCAGACUCCUACGGGAGGCAGCAGUGAGGAAUAUUGGUCAAUGGACGCAAGUCUGAACCAAGCCAAGUCGCGUGAAGGAAGAAUGUCCUAUGGAUUGUAAACUUCUUUUGAAGGGGAAUAAAGUACGGUACGUGUACCGUUUUGUAUGUACCCUUCGAAUAAGGAUCGGCUAACUCCGUGCCAGCCGCGGC